GUGCCAGCAGCCGCGGUAAUACGGAGGGUGCGAGCGUUAAUCGGAAUUACUGGGCGUAAAGGGUGCGUAGGUUGUUGAUUAAGUUAGCUGUGAAAUACCUGGGCUUAACCUAGGGGUGUCAGCUAAUACUGAUGAACUGGAGUAUAGGAGAGGGUAGUGGAAUUUCCGGUGUAGCGGUGAAAUGCGUAGAGAUCGGAAGGAACACCGGUGGCGAAGGCGGCUACCUGGCCUAAUACUGACACUGAGGCACGAAAGCGUGGGGAGCAAACAGGAUUAGAAACCCUGGUAGUCC
rnacentral:rRNA from 1 species